rnacentral:misc_RNA from 1 species
CGCACCAAUCGCGCGCGCCCCACCGAGGCCGCGGCGCCGGCGAACAGAACCCACUACCGUGCCAGUUGCAGGACCAUACCACUGUGCUCGCGACGGACACUGCUGGCGAUCUCGGAGUUGGCGCACGCGCCGCCCCGGUCCGGUGGUGGGUGGUCAAAACUCUCUCUCUCAAAAAAAAGGCAGGGAAAGGAAAGGAUUUACUAAUCUCGUCAGGCCGCUCCCUUUAUAUAGCUGCCUCCGUGCGCCUCACUUCCGCACUCCCCCACACUACACCACACUCGAGAGCCAUCUCCCAGCACACGAGCGGGAUGGCUUCCACCACCACCACCUUCCUCGCCGUCUUGCUGGUCGUGGCCGCGUCCGCGGCGCUGGGCAACCCGGCGUCGCUGUCGACGUGGACGCCGGCGUCGCCCAACUGCUGCGCGUGGGACCACCUCCGAUGCAACGACGCCGGGCGCGUGAACAACGUCUUCAUCGACGGCGCGGACGACGUGCGCGGCCAGAUCCCGUCGGCGGUGGGCGGGCUGACGGAGCUCAUGUCGCUGACGCUGUUCCGGCUGCCGGGGCUGACGGGCGCCAUCCCGGCCUGCCUCACGGCGCUGUCGAACCUCCAGUUCCUCACCGUCUCCCACACCAACGUGUCCGGCGCCAUCCCGGAGUCGCUGGCGCGGCUGCGCGGCCUCGACUCCGUGGACCUCUCCAGCAACCGGCUGACGGGCGGCAUCCCGGCGGCGUUCGCCGACCUGCCCAGCCUCCGGUCGCUGGACCUCCGGCACAACCAGCUGACGGGCCCCAUCCCGGCGGGGCUGGUGCAGGGGCAGUUCCGGUCGCUGGUCCUGUCCUACAACCAGCUCACGGGCCCCAUCCCGCGCGACGACGCGCGCGACGAGAUCAACACCGUCGACCUCUCCCACAACAGGCUCACCGGCGACCCCUCCCACCUGUUCGCCGCCGGCCGGCCCAUCGGCAAGGUGGACCUGUCGUGGAACUACCUCAACUUCGACCUCAGCAGGCUGGUGUUCCCGCCGGAGCUCACGUACCUGGACCUGUCCCACAACCUCAUCCGCGGCACCGUGCCGCUGUCGCUGGAGCGCCUGUCCACGCUGCAGAAGCUGGACCUCAGCUACAACCGCCUGUGCGGCCCGCUCCCCAAGGGCCACGGCGUCAUCAAGCACGGGUGCAAGCCGUACGCGCACAACCAGUGCAGCAAAGGGACCCCGCUCGCGGGAUGCCAGGACCUGGAGUGAGUGAGCCGGUGGCCAUGGUUUUCUAUACUCUGCUCUGCUCUCCCUCGCCGGCGUUCUUUUCGUGUCCCAAUCUUGAAGGACGACGGUACGGUGCCUGGUUUAGCUAUAGACAAAAAAAGGUACGGCCGCGUGGUGGCGGUGCUAAUAUGCUUAGCCACGCCCACGCGCGGUUGAUCUUUGAGCAGUUAAGCGUGUACGAAAUGACAGCUGUGUACGUGUACUGUCUGGUGGAGUGUGCUGUGUAUCUGGUCUCGAUCCGAUCGGCCUAAUGUAUGAAAAAAAAAGGAUGUUUACGUACUAAAUGGAAAAUCAUUUUUUCCCUCUUCUUUUAUAUGAAGUUGCGCCUGAAUCAUCUAUCAGGCAAGCAGCAGGUGAGCAGGUGUAUUGUAACGAGAGCCAGCAUGGAGAACAGCGGCGGUGAUGCUCCUUUUGUACCGUAGCUUUACAAAGCCAUUUUCAGAUUCUCUCAGGUCAAGCAGAUUCAAAUAACUGUUUAUUUAGCUCCUCUCACGUAUUGAAAAACUAAG